rnacentral:rRNA from 1 species
UACGAAGGGGGCUAGCGUUGCUCGGAAUUACUGGGCGUAAAGCGCACGUAGGCGGAUCUUUAAGUCAGGGGUGAAAUCCUGGAGCUCAACUUCAGAACUGCCUUUGAUACUGAGGGUCUUGAGUUCGGGAGAGGUGAGUGGAACUGCGAGUGUAGAGGUGAAAUUCGUAGAUAUUCGCAAGAACACCAGUGGCGAAGGCGGCUCACUGGCCCGAUACUGACGCUGAGGUGCGAAAGCGUGGGGAGCAAACAGG